rnacentral:rRNA from 1 species
CCUACGGGUGGCAGCAGUGGGGAAUAUUGGACAAUGGGCGAAAGCCUGAUCCAGCCAUGCCGCGUGUGUGAAGAAGGCCUUCGGGUUGUAAAGCACUUUCAGUGGGGAAGAAAGCCUUGGGGCUAAUACCCUCGAGGAAGGACAUCACCCACAGAAGAAGCACCGGCUAACUCCGUGCCAGCAGCCGCGGUAAUACGGAGGGUGCGAGCGUUAAUCGGAAUUACUGGGCGUAAAGCGCGCGUAGGCGGUCUGAUAAGCCGGUUGUGAAAGCCCCGGGCUCAACCUGGGAACGGCAUCCGGAACUGUCAGGCUAGAGUGCAGGAGAGGAAGGUAGAACUCCCGGUGUAGCGGUGAAAUGCGUAGAGAUCGGGAGGAAUACCAGUGGCGAAGGCGGCCUUCUGGACUGACACUGACGCUGAGGUGCGAAAGCGUGGGUAGCAAACAGGAUUAGAUACCCGAGUAGUC